rnacentral:rRNA from 1 species
GGUCAAGUUUCUAAGAGCAAACGGUGGAUGCCUUGGCAUCUGGAGCCGAAGAAGGACGUAGAAAUCUGCGAUAAGCCUCGGGGAGCUGAUAAUCGAGCCCUGAUCCGAGGAUUUCCGAAUGGGGAAACCCCGCUGGGCGCUUUUGUGACCUGGUGACUCCCGCCUGAAUAUAUAGGGCGGGUAGAGGGAACGUGGGGAAGUGAAACAUCUCAGUACCCACAGGAAGAGAAAACAACAUGUGAUUCCGUGAGUAGUGGCGAGCGAAAGCGGAUGAGGCUAAACCGAUCAUGUGUGAUAGCCGGCGGGCGUUGCAUGGUCGGGGUUGUGGGACACGUCACUCAGUUCUGCCGGACUGGGGCGGUUACAGCGCAUCAUAGUCGAACCGGUUUGAAAGCCGGGCCGUAGUGGGUGCCAGCCCCGUAGACGAAAUGGUGUUAUGGCCGGAUGUGUAUCCCAAGUAGCACGGGGCCCGAGAAAUCCCGUGUGAAUCUGUCAGGACCACCUGAUAAGCCUAAAUACUCCCAGAUGACCGAUAGCGGACAAGUACCGUGAGGGAAAGGUGAAAAGUACCCCGGGAGGGGAGUGAAAUAGUACCUGAAACCGUUUGCUUACAAACCGUCGGAGCCUCCUUAGUAGGGGUGACGGCGUGCCUUUUGAAGAAUGAGCCUGCGAGUUAGUGAUAUGUGGCGAGGUUAACCCGUGUGGGGCAGCCGUAGCGAAAGCGAGUCUGAAUAGGGCGUUUGAGUCGCAUGUUCUAGACCCGAAGCGAAGUGAUCUAUCCAUGGCCAGGUUGAAGCGACGGUAAGACGUCGUGGAGGACCGAACCCACUUCAGUUGAAAAUGGAGGGGAUGAGCUGUGGAUAGGGGUGAAAGGCCAAUCAAACUUCGUGAUAGCUGGUUCUCUCCGAAAUGCAUUUAGGUGCAGCGUUGCGUGUUUCUCGCCGGAGGUAGAGCUACUGGAUGGCCGAUGGGCCUCAACAGGUUACUGACGUCAGCCAAACUCCGAAUGCCGGUGAGUGAGAGCGCAGCAGUGAGACGGUGGGGGAUAAGCUUCAUCGUCGAGAGGGAAACAACCCAGACUACCAACUAAGGUCCCUAAGCGUGUGCUAAGUGGGAAAGGAUGUGGAGUUGCAUAGACAACCAGGAGGUUGGCUUAGAAGCAGCCACCCUUGAAAGAGUGCGUAAUAGCUCACUGGUCAAGUGAUUCCGCGCCGACAAUGUAACGGGGCUCAAGCACACCACCGAAGUUGUAGAUUUCGCACUAUAGACAAGCCUUUGUGGUUCAGUCGUGCGGAGUGGUAGGAGAGCGUCGUGUGGCGAGUGAAGCGGCGGAGUGAUCCAGCCGUGGACGCUACACGAGUGAGAAUGCAGGCAUGAGUAGCGAAAGACGGGUGAGAAACCCGUCCUCCGAAAGACCAAGGGUUCCAGGGCCAGGUUAAUCCGCCCUGGGUAAGUCGGGACCUAAGGCGAGGCCGACAGGCGUAGUCGAUGGACAACGGGUUGAUAUUCCCGUACCGGCGAACAACCGCCCAAGCUAAUCCAGUGGUGCUAAGAGUCCUAACCCGGACUGUCCGGAUCCCUUCGGGGUGAUGGUGGCCGGUCUAACGCUCGACCCCAUGCUGGUGCGGUUAGCGUAUGAACAGGUGUGACGCAGGAAGGUAGCUGAGCCAGGCGAUGGUAUCCGUAAGGUGAACCUGGUGUAAGGAUGUAGGGCUGACGAUAGGCAAAUCCGUCGUCUGUACGCCUGAGAUCCGACGCGUACCCGUNNNNNNNNNNNNNNNNNNNNNNNNNNNNNNNNNNNNNNNNNNNNNNNNNNNNNNNNNNNNNNNNNNNNNNNNNNNNNNNNNNNNNNNNNNNNNNNNNNNNUUGCUCCGUGAGCGUUGAAGGCCGCAGAGACCAGUGGGAAGCGACUGUUUACUAAAAACACAGGUCCGUGCGAAGUCGCAAGACGAUGUAUACGGACUGACGCCUGCCCGGUGCUGGAAGGUUAAGAGGAAGGGUUAGCCUUUGGGCGAAGCUCUGAAUUUAAGCCCCAGUAAACGGCGGUGGUAACUAUAACCAUCCUAAGGUAGCGAAAUUCCUUGUCGGGUAAGUUCCGACCUGCACGAAUGGCGUAACGACUUCCCAGCUGUCUCAACCGCGAACUCGGCGAAAUUGCACUACGAGUAAAGAUGCUCGUUACGCGCAGCAGGACGGAAAGACCCCGUGACCUUUACUACAGUUUGGUAUUGGUGUUCGGUGUGGCUUGUGUAGGAUAGGUGGGAGACUGUGAAGCGGGCACGCUAGUGUUCGUGGAGUCAUUGUUGAAAUACCACUCUGGUCACUCUGGAUGUCUAACGUAGGACCCUGAUCGGGUUCAUGGACAGUGCCUGAUGGGUAGUUUAACUGGGGCGGUUGCCUCCCAAAGAGUAACGGAGGCGCCCAAAGGUUCCCUCAACCUGGUUGGCAAUCAGGUGGCGAGUGUAAGUGCACAAGGGAGCUUGACUGUGAGACUGACAGGUCGAGCAGGGACGAAAGUCGGGACUAGUGAUCCGGCAGUGGCUUGUGGAAGCGCUGUCGCUCAACGGAUAAAAGGUACCUCGGGGAUAACAGGCUGAUCUUGCCCAAGAGUCCAUAUCGACGGCAUGGUUUGGCACCUCGAUGUCGGCUCGUCGCAUCCUGGGGCUGGAGUAGGUCCCAAGGGUUGGGCUGUUCGCCCAUUAAAGCGGUACGCGAGCUGGGUUUAGAACGUCGUGAGACAGUUCGGUCCCUAUCCGCUGCGCGCGUUGGAAAUUUGAGAAGAUCUAUCCCUAGUACGAGAGGACCGGGAUGGACGAACCUCUGGUGUGUCAGUUGUUCUGCCAAGGGCACCGCUGAUUAGCUACGUUCGGACCGGAUAACCGCUGAAAGCAUCUAAGCGGGAAGCCGUCUUCGAGAUGAGAUUUCCAUGCACCUUGAGUGUGAGAGGCUCCCAGCAGACUACUGGGUUGAUAGGCCGGAUGUGGAAGCGGGGACUAACGACCCGUGGAGCUGACCGGUACUAAUAAGCCGAAGACUUGAUAAC